UACGUAGGGUGCGAGCGUUGUCCGGAAUUACUGGGCGUAAAGAGCUCGUAGGCGGUUUGUCGCGUCGUCUGUGAAAUUCUGCAACUCAAUUGUAGGCGUGCAGGCGAUACGGGCAGACUUGAGUACUACAGGGGAGACUGGAAUUCCUGGUGUAGCGGUGAAAUGCGCAGAUAUCAGGAGGAACACCGGGUGGCGAAGGCGGGUCUCUGGGUAGUAACUGACGCUGAGGAGCGAAAGCGUGGGUAGCGAACAGG
rnacentral:rRNA from 1 species